rnacentral:rRNA from 1 species
AACGUAGGAGACAAACGUUAUCCGGAGUUACUGGGCGUAAAGGGCGUGUAGGCGGUUAGUUAAGUCUGGCGUGAAAGCUCUCGGCUAAACCGGGAGAGGUCGUUGGAUACUGGCUGACUAGAGGACGGUAGAGGCGUGUGGAAUUCCGGGUGUAGUGGUGAAAUGCGUAGAGAUCCGGAGGAACACCAGUGGCGAAGGCGGCUAUCUGGACGGUUUCUGACGCUAAGACGCGAAAGCGUGGGGAGCAAACAGG